rnacentral:lncRNA from 1 species
GUUAGCCGAUGACAAGUAAACCCAUCGAAGCAACCUUCCCCGGCGAGGGCCACAACGCAAUGCUACCAUUGACACAUACAUCAAUGAAGGUCAAGUAACCUUGACAAUGCAUCCAGCAGGGAUUUAUCCGGUGAUACACACAUCAGCGAAGAUCAGGCAACCCUGAUAACAACAAAACUGUUGGCAGUAACUCCGACAGAAUGAGGGAAUAGGUUAUACACAUCCUCAAAUAGACGAAGCUUUAUCCCCACAGAUCUCUUACACAUAAGAGGUACCUCUAUGGAAUAUAAGCCAGUGUCUAGGAUUCAAGACUUUGGUGAUAGCCCCAACGUCAACAUCCUUGGAAACUUGGAUCGCAUGUCCAAGCCAUCGCUGAUUGUCAUCCCAACAGGAUUACUUGACAAUCAUUCAUGCAUUCUACAUGAAUUUGCAUCAUGUUGCUGCAUAUAGCAUCAUGUUUAUCUUGCUUGCAUUUCAAGUGUCUAGGAUUCUUUAUCUUAUCCAUGCCUUGCAUUGCAUGAAUAUGAUAAAGGGGGGCAUCUGUAGACACUCG